ACAGCAGUCGCCGCGGUAAUACAGAGGGUGCAAGCGUUAAUCGGAAUUACUGGGCGUAAAGCGUGCGCAGACGGUUACAUAAGUCGGGUGUGAAAGCCCCGGGCUCAACCUGGGAAUUGCAUUCGAGACUGUGUAGCUAGGGUACGGAAGAGGGAAGCGGAAUUUCAGGUGUAGCGGUGAAAUGCGUAGAUAUCUGAAGGAACACCAGUGGCGAAAGCGGCUUCCUGGUCCAGUACCGACGUUCAGGCACGAAAGCGUGGGGAGCAAACAGGAUUAGAUACCCGGGUAGUCCCUGUCUCUUAUAA
rnacentral:rRNA from 1 species